GAUGAACGCUGGCGGCGUGCUUAACACAUGCAAGUCGAACGGUAAGGCCCUUCGGGGUACACGAGUGGCGAACGGGUGAGUAACACGUGGGUGAUCUGCCCUGCACUUCGGGAUAAGCCUGGGAAACUGGGUCUAAUACCGGAUAGGACUCCGGACUGCAUGGUCUGGGGUGGAAAGCUUUUGCGGUGUGGGAUGGGCCCGCGGCCUAUCAGCUUGUUGGUGGGGUGAUGGCCUACCAAGGCGACGACGGGUAGCCGGCCUGAGAGGGUGACCGGCCACACUGGGACUGAGAUACGGCCCAGACUCCUACGGGGGGCAGCAGUGGGGAAUAUUGCACAAUGGGCGCAAGCCUGAUGCAGCGACGCCGCGUGAGGGAUGACGGCCUUCGGGUUGUAAACCUCUUUCAGCAUCGACGAAGCGAAAGUGACGGUAGGUGCAGAAGAAGGACCGGCCAACUACGUGCCAGCCGCCGCGGUAA
rnacentral:rRNA from 1 species